rnacentral:rRNA from 1 species
GACGAACGCUGGCGGCGUGGAUUAGGCAUGCAAGUCGAACGGUAUCAUCCUUUCGGGGGUGAGAGAGUGGCGAACUGGUGAGUAACACGUAGGUUAUCUACCCUCAAGACGGGGACAACCCAGGGAAACUUGGGCUAAUACCGGAUGUGAGCAACUUUUAGUUGUUUGAAAGGUGGCGUAAGCUGUCGCUUGGGGAUGAGCCUGCGUCCUAUUAGUUAGUUGGUGAGGUAACGGCUCACCUAGGCAAUGAUAGGUAGGCGGCCUUAACGGGUGGUCGCCCACACUGGGAUUGAGAUACGGCCCAGACUCCUACGGGAGGCAGCAGUCGAGAAUAGUCUACAAUGGCCGAAAGGCUGAUAGUGCGACGCCGCGUGAACGAUGAAUCCCUUCGGGGUGUAAAGUUCUUUUAUAUGUGAGCAGUGCUUCUUAUAUUAACAGUAUGGGGAGAGAGAUAUUAGCAUAUGAAUAAGCAACGGCUAACUCCGUGCCAGCAGCCGCGGUAAU